AACCCUCGUCGUAUGUUAUAUGUGUCACACGGGGACUGCCGGUCUUAAGCCGGAGGAAGUGGGGAUGAUGUCAAGUCAGCAUGGCCUUUAUAUCCUGGGCUACACACACGCUACAAUGGCCAACACAAUAGGUUGCUAAGCCGCGAGGUGGCGCCAAUCCAUAAAGUUGGUCUCAGUUCAGAUUGUAGGCUGCAACCCGCCUGCAUGAAGAUGGAGUUGCUAGUAACCGCAGGUCAGCUAUACUGCGGUGAAUACGUUCCCGGGGCUU
rnacentral:rRNA from 1 species